rnacentral:rRNA from 1 species
UACGAAGGGAGCUAGCGUUGCUCGGAAUCACUGGGCGUAAAGCGCACGUAGGCGGAUGUGCCAGUCAGGGGUGAAAUCCCGGAGCUCAACUCCGGAACUGCCUCUGAUACAGCACGUCUUGAGUCCGGAAGAGGUGGGUGGAAUUCCUAGUGUAGAGGUGAAAUUCGUAGAUAUUAGGAAGAACACCCGUAGCGAAGGCGGCACUCUGGGCCGGUACUGACGCUGAGGAGCGAAAGCGUGGGGAGCAAACAGG